rnacentral:rRNA from 1 species
GGGUUGUGAGGUUAAGCGACUAAGCGUACACGGUGGAUGCCCUGGCAGUCAGAGGCGAUGAAGGACGUGCUAAUCUGCGAUAAGCGUCGGUAAGGUGAUAUGAACCGUUAUAACCGGCGAUUUCCGAAUGGGGAAACCCAGUGUGAUUCGUCACACUAUCAUUAACUGAAUCCAUAGGUUAAUGAGGCGAACCGGGGGAACUGAAACAUCUAAGUACCCCGAGGAAAAGAAAUCAACCGAGAUUCCCCCAGUAGCGGCGAGC